rnacentral:rRNA from 1 species
GAUGAACGCUGGCGGCGUGCCUAAUACAUGCAAGUCGAGCGAAGCGGGGACGCGUGAGUAACACGUGGAUAACCUCCUAUAAGCCUGGGAUAACUUCGGGAAACCGGAGCUAAACCGGGUACUUAUAGAUGGAUCCCCGUGGCAUUAGCUAGUGGGUAGGGUAAAGGCUUACCAAGUCAACGAUGCAUAGCCGACCGGAGAUGGUGAUCAGCCACACUGGAAUUGAGACACGGUCCAGACUCCUACGGGAGGCAGCAGUCGGGAAGCUUCCGCAAUGGGCGAAAUCCUGACGGAGCAACGCCGCGUAAGUGAUGAAGGUCUUCGGAUCGUAAAACUCUGUUAUUAGGGAAGCGGUACCUAAUCAGAAAGCCACGGCUAACUACAUGCCAGCAGCCGCGGUAAUAC